UGGCUAACCUGCCCUUGGGACAGAGACACCCCCGGGAAACUGGGGCUAAUCCCUGAUAGGCGAAGAACUCUGGAAUGAGUUUUCACCCAAAAGGCGUUUAGAUCAUGCUUCUAAGCGUUGCCCAAGGAUGGGGCCGCGACCGAUCAGGUUGUUGGUGAGGUAAUGGCUCACCAAGCCUCUAACCGGUGCGGGCCGUGAGAGCGGGAGCCCGGAGAUGGGCACUGAGACAAGGGCCCAGGCCCUACGGGGCGCAGCAGUCGCGAAAACUUUGCAAUACACGAAAGUGUGACAGGGUCAUCCCGAGUGCCGUCCGCUGAGGAUGGCUUUUACUCAGUCUAGAAAGCUGGGAGAAUAAGGAGAGGGCAAGUCUGGUGUCAGCCGCCGCGGUAAUACCAGCUCUCCGAGUGGUGUGGAUGUUUAUUGGGCCUAAAGCAUCCGUAGCUGGCUGAGCAAGUCCCCUGUUAAACCCACCGAUUUAAUCGUUGGUCUGCGGGGGAUACUGCUCGGCUAGGGGACGAGAGAGGCCGACGGUAUUUCCGGGGUAGGGGUGAAAUCCUAUAAUCCCGGGAAGACCACCAGUGGCGAAGGCUGUCGGCUAGAACGCGCCCGACGGUGAGGGAUGAAAGCUGGGGGAGCGAACCGGAUUAGAUACCCGGGUAGUCCCAGCUGUAAACGAUGCAGGCUAGGUGUUUGGGCGGCCACGUGCCGCUCUAGUGCCGCAGGGAAGCUGUUAAGCCUGCCGCCUGGGGAGUACGGCCGCAAGGCUGAAACU
rnacentral:rRNA from 1 species